UAACCCUCAAGCCUAGCUUGGUGUUGGAGCAUGCUACCUAAGCAGCUCUUAAAAUCAGUGGCAGUGCCCUUCGGCUCUAAGCGUAGUAACUUCUCUCGCUAUGGAACCCGGAGGGUACGCGCCAGAACCCCCAACUUUCUAU
rnacentral:misc_RNA from 1 species